rnacentral:rRNA from 1 species
AUUGAACGCUGGCGGCAUGCCUUACACAUGCAAGUCGAACGGCAUCGCGGGAAAGCUUGCUUUCCUGGCGGCGAGUGGCGAACGGGUGAGUAACACAUCGGAACGUACCGGCUAGUGGGGGAUAACCCGUCGAAAGGCGGGCUAAUACCGCAUACGCUCUUCGGAGGAAAGCAGGGGACCUUUGGGCCUUGCGCUAGCCGAGCGGCCGAUGUCCGAUUAGCUAGUUGGUGGGGUAAAGGCCUACCAAGGCGACGAUCGGUAGCGGGUCUGAGAGGACGAUCCGCCACACUGGGACUGAGACACGGCCCAGACUCCUACGGGAGGCAGCAGUGGGGAAUCUUGGACAAUGGGGGCAACCCUGAUCCAGCAAUGCCGCGUGGGUGAAGAAGGCCUUCGGGUUGUAAAGCCCUUUCGGCAGGGAAGAAAUCGGCGGGGCGAAUAACCCUGCUGGAUGACGGUACCUGCAGAAGAAGCACCGGCUAACUACGUG